UGGGGAAUAUUGGACAAUGGGCGCAAGCCUGAUCCAGCCAUGCCGCGUGAGUGAUGAAGGCCUUAGGGUUGUAAAGCUCUUUUGUCCGGGACGAUAAUGACGGUACCGGAAGAAUAAGCCCCGGCUAACUUCGUGCCAGCAGCCGCGGUAAUACGAAGGGGGCUAGCGUUGCUCGGAAUCACUGGGCGUAAAGGGCGCGUAGGCGGCUAUUUAAGUCGGGGGUGAAAGCCUGUGGCUCAACCACAGAAUUGCCUUCGAUACUGGAUAGCUUGAGUAUGGUAGAGGUUGGUGGAACUGCGGGUGUAGGGGUGAAAUUCGUAGAUAUUCGCAAGAACACCGGUGGCGAAGGCGGCCAACUGGACCAUUACUGACGCUGAGGCGCGAAAGCGUGGGGAGCAAACAGG
rnacentral:rRNA from 1 species